rnacentral:misc_RNA from 1 species
GUGGGAGCGAGCCUGCUCGCGAUGGCGUCGGAUCAGCAGCAUCUUUAUUGACUGACACACCGCAAUCGCGAGCAGGCUCGCUCCCAC